rnacentral:rRNA from 1 species
UACGGACGGGGCAAUCGUUGUUCGGAAUCAUUGGGCGUAAAGGGCGCGUAGGUGGUUCUGUAUGUCUACCGUGAAAGCGUACGGCUCAACCGUAUUUUGUCGGUGGAAACUGCAGGACUUGAGGCUGGGAGGGGCUGGUGGAAUUCCCUGUGUAGCGGUGAAAUGCGUAGAGAUGGGGGAGAACACGCGUGGCGAAGGCGGCCAGCUAGACCAGUUCUGACACUGAGGCGCGACAGCGUGGGGAGCAAACAGG